rnacentral:rRNA from 1 species
UACGUGAGGGGCGAACGUUGUUCGGUGUCACUGGGCUUAAAGGGUGCGUAGGUGGUUCUGUAAGUAAGGUGUGAAAUCCCUCGGCUUACCCGGGGAAUUGCAUUUUAUACUGCAGGACUUGAGGGCUAAAGUAGGGAAAAGGGAACUCCAGGUGUAGCGGUGAAAUGCGCAGAUAUCUGGGGGAAGGCCGGCGGCGAAGGCGCUUUUCUGGUUAGUACCUGACACUGAGGCACGAAAGCGUGGGGAGCAAACAGG